rnacentral:rRNA from 1 species
CACGUAGGGUGCGAGCGUUGUCCGGAAUUAUUGGGCGUAAAGAGCUCGUAGGCGGUGUGUCGCGUCGAUCGUGAAAACUUGGGGCUUAACCCUGAGCUUGCGGUCGAUACGGGCAUCACUUGAGUUCGGCAGGGGAGACUGGAAUUCCUGGUGUAGCGGUGAAAUGCGCAGAUAUCAGGAGGAACACCGGUGGCGAAGGCGGGUCUCUGGGCCGAUACUGACGCUGAGGAGCGAAAGCGUGGGGAGCGAACAGG